UGUGGCCUUGUUGGAGGAGCAUGGCUGGAACACACUUUUAAUCCAGACCUUGAGGCUGGACGUUAUAUCUAUAAUCUGGGCCACACCGUCUGUUGAAAGUGUGUCACUGUGGGGGUGGGCUUUGAGGUCUUUAUCUCAAGCUUCACUCAGUGUGACACUCAGUGGACUUCUUGUUGCCUCUGAGUCAAGUUGUAGGACUCUCAACUCCAGCACCUCCUC